UACAGAGGUCCCAAGCGUUGUUCGGAUUCACUGGGCGUAAAGGGUGCGUAGGCGGUUGGGGAAGUCUGAUGUGAAAUCUCACAGCUUAACUGUGAAACUGCAUUGGAUACUAUCCGGCUAGAGGAAUGGAGGGGAGACUGGAAUACUUGGUGUAGCAGUGAAAUGCGUAGAUAUCAAGUGGAACACCAGUGGCGAAGGCGAGUCUCUGGACAUUUCCUGACGCUGAGGCACGAAAGCCAGGGGAGCAAACGGG
rnacentral:rRNA from 1 species